GUGCAAGUGUAGACUUGCUCCAAGUCUCUCUUUCAUUGUCAUAUAGUAUCGUUCCACUAUAGUGUACAUUACAUGACGUAGUAAUGUACACUAUAAUGGAUCUAUAUGAAAAUGAAAGAGAGACUUGGAGCAAGUCUAGUGCAGUUG